CCAGACUCCUACGGGAGGCAGCAGUGGGGAAUAUUGGGCAAUGGGCGCAAGCCUGACCCAGCAACGCCGCGUGAAGGAAGAAGGCUUUCGGGUUGUAAACUUCUUUUCUCAGGGACGAAGCAAGUGACGGUACCUGAGGAGUAAGCCACGGCUAACUACGUGCCAGCAGCCGCGGUAAUACGUAGGUGGCAAGCGUUAUCCGGAUUUACUGGGUGUAAAGGGAGCGUAGACGGAAAGGCAAGUCAGAAGUGAAAACCCAAGGCUCAACCAUGGGACUGCUUUUGAAACUGAGUAGCUAGAGUGCAGGAGAGGUAAGCGGAAUUCCUAGGGCAGCGGUGAAAUGCGUAGAUAUUAGGAGGAACACCAGUGGCGAAGGCGGCUUACUGGACGGUAACUGACGUUGAGGCUCGAAAGCGUGGGGAGCAAACAGGAUUAGAUACCCCGGUAUU
rnacentral:rRNA from 1 species